rnacentral:rRNA from 1 species
AGAGUUUGAUCAUGGCUCAGGAUGAACGCUAGCGGCAGGCUUAAUACAUGCAAGUCGUGGGGCAGCACAGGUAGCAAUACUGGGUGGCGACCGGCAAACGGGUGCGGAACACGUACGCAACCUUCCUUUAAGCGGGGAAUAGCCCAGGGAAACUUGGAUUAAUACCCCAUAAAACAAUCGGGUGGCAUCACUUGGUUGUUAAAGCUCCGGCACUUAAAGAUGGGCGUGCGGCUGAUUAGGUAGUUGGCGGGGUAACGGCCCACCAAGCCGACGAUCAGUAACUGGUGUGAGAGCACGACCAGUCACACGGGCACUGAGACACGGGCCCGACUCCUACGGGAGGCAGCAGUAAGGAAUAUUGGUCAAUGGACGCAAGUCUGAACCAGCCAUGCCGCGUGGAGGAUGAAGGCCCUCUGGGUUGUAAACUUCUUUUAUUGGGGAAGAAACCGGUUCUUUCUAGAGCCGUUGACGGUACCCAUUGAAUAAGCACCGGCUAACUCCGUGCCAGCAGCCGCGGUAAUACGGAGGGUGCAAGCGUUAUCCGGAUUCACUGGGUUUAAAGGGUGCGUAGGUGGGCAGGUAAGUCAGUGGUGAAAUCUCUAAGCUUAACUUAGAAACUGCCGUUGAUACUAUCUGUCUUGAAUGUAGUGGAGGUGAGCGGAAUAUGUCAUGUAGCGGUGAAAUGCUUAGAUAUGACAUAGAACACCCAUUGCGAAGGCAGCUCGCUACACUACUAUUGACACUGAGGCACGAAAGCGUGGGGAUCAAACAGGAUUAGAUACCCUAGUAGUCC